rnacentral:lncRNA from 1 species
GUUUGUAGAUGUUUUCUAGCUUUGAUGUAACUUCAGAUCAAGCUUGAGUACAAAUUCAGCUGUAAACUACAGUUGUGUGUAUAUUGAUCUCUCUACCUCUCUGUUCCAGCUUGAGAAGUUGUAUACCCUUGGCAUGAAGCCCCUGCUGCUGAUUGCACAUCCUCCUAAGAUGGUGACAGGGACGCACACGUACCAGACUAAAAUAAUGCUGCCAGUGCAUGCCCAACUUAGCACAUCCGCUAAGACAUGCUUAGAGAAUGUGAAUGCCAUCUACAAAUUGAUGGUUGAAGGUUGGACAAGACUCAACCCAGACCAACUACCUCAAGAAGACGAGGAGAACUUCAUUCUAAAUUUGGUGCCGUGUGGUUCACCAUCCAGGGAACCAGCACACCAGGCUCCACCCAUCCAGGAACCAGCACACCAGGCUCCACCCAUCCAAGAACCAGCACACCAGGUCUCAGCUGUGCAGCCACCACUGCGGGGUCCACAGCAAUGUAAAAGACUACAAAAAAUCAAAGAUUGCCCUCACAGUCGGCUUGAAAUGUUCCCAGUCUGUGAAAUAAUAAAGACAAGGAAAAGAAAGGGGAGGACAGAACAUCUUUAUGACUGGCAGCCCUGCACAAUGUGAAAGCAUUCACACACCAAUGUGUCCCUGAGCAAGAUACUUAACCCCUAGUUGCUCCAGAGGCGUGCGACCUUUGACAUAAACAGCAUUUGUAAGUCGCUUUGGAUAAAAGCAUCAGCUAAAUGAAUAAAUGUAAUGUAAUGUACUGUUUUAAUUUGUGGGGAUUGUUGACAAGCCAUUGUCUUGGGUAGAGAUUAUUAAAGAAAAAUUGUAGAUUGUAGUGCAAACAGUUUUUGUAUGCUGUUUACAAUUGUGAGGAAACUGAUAUGUUGUACUGUGCAUCCACAGCCAUAUGAAACCAAAAGUGAAAAGUUACGUUUCUGCUGUAAGUCUCUAGAAGAGGAAUGCAGUGAUUGGAGAUGUUUAUGGUAUAGUCAGAGGAAACAUCAGGGUUUCAGGGUUUGGCAAUUAGUACACUGUGAAUGGAUACAUUUAUUUGUCAGUUAGAGGAUUUAUUUUUAUUUUUCCACAACAUUUUUGACAUUUUAAGACCAUGUUUGGUCCACCUGACAGCUGUAUUGUGCCUAUCUACAUUUUUUUACACAAUUAUCUAGUUUUGUUUAUUUUUCCAUGAGCAACAGUUACUGUGAGAAACACUGACAUACCAUAAUGACUGUGAUGUUUUAUAUCUUGUUUUAAAGUAAUUUUGCGCACAUGGAAACCAGA